CCUACGGGAGGCAGCAGUGAGGAAUAUUGGUCAAUGGGCGGAAGCCUGAACCAGCCACGUCGCGUGCAGGAUGACGGCCCUACGGGUUGUAACCUGCUUUUAUACGGGAAUAACGCGCCUUACGUGUAGGGCUUUGCAUGUACCGUAUGUAUAAGGACCGGCUAAUUCCGUGCCAGCAGCCGCGGUAAUACGGAAGGUCCGGGCGUUAUCCGGAUUUAUUGGGUGUAAAGGGAGCGUAGGCCGCAUGUCAAGCGUGCUGUGAAAUGUCCGGGCUCAACCCGGGCCUUGCAGCGCGAACUGGCGUGCUUGAGUCCGCGGAAAGCAGGCGGAAUUCGUCGUGUAGCGGUGAAAUGCUUAGAUAUGACGAAGAACCCCGAUUGCGAAGGCAGCUUGCUGCAGCGGAACUGACGCUGAUGCGCGAAAGCGCGGGUAUCGAACAGGAUUAGAUACCCCUGUAGUC
rnacentral:rRNA from 1 species